AUGAGGACCAGCCCCACAAGGCUUAAAAUGGCGGCUAUGUUCAUGACCCAUGAAAUGAAAGAAAGACAAGAGAUUGGGAAGAGAGAAAAGAGAGGAGAUCGCCUUGGUGGAAGUGUCAUAAUGAUGAAGAGACAAGUCCCAAACAGUCAUUUACCUUCAGCUGCACCUCACCUGAUAGCUCCCAGUCUAAAAUUGAUGCUGCCUUCAGGUGAUACGAGGUUUCCUCUUGCAAAACAAUGGGGGCUUCUACUCUGGGAGAGUUGGCCCCUGCUCCCUCUGCUACACAACCCUCCACAGCUUGCAGACAGGCAGCCAUUCCCGUAAUGGCCUCAUCCAUCAUCUCAUGCUUUAUUAUUACACCCAUUACCCAAGCAA
rnacentral:lncRNA from 1 species